UACGAAGGGUGCAAGCGUUACUCGGAAUUACUGGGCGUAAAGCGUGCGUAGGUGGUUUGUUAAGUCUGUUGUGAAAGCCCCGGGCUCAACCUGGGAAUGGCAAUGGAUACUGGCAAGCUAGAGUGCGGUAGAGGGUAGUGGAAUUCCCGGUGUAGCAGUGAAAUGCGUAGAGAUCGGGAGGAACACCAGUGGCGAAGGCGGCUACCUGGACCAGCACUGACACUGAGGCACGAAAGCGUGGGGAGCAAACAGG
rnacentral:rRNA from 1 species